rnacentral:rRNA from 1 species
UACGUAGGGUGCGAGCGUUAAUCGGAAUUACUGGGCGUAAAGCGUGCGCAGGCGGCGCGUUAAGACAGGUGUGAAAGCCCCCGAGCUUAACUUGGGAAUUGCGCUUGUGACUGGCGUGCUGGAGUGUGGCAGAGGGAGGUGGAAUUCCACGUGUAGCAGUGAAAUGCGUAGAGAUGUGGAGGAACACCGAUGGCGAAGGCAGCCUCCUGGGCCAGCACUGACGCUCAUGCACGAAAGCGUGGGGAGCGAAACAAGG